rnacentral:rRNA from 1 species
UCUGGCGUCCUUGGGCGUCCGAGUUGUAAUUUGCAGAGGGCGCUUUGGCGUUGGCAGCAGUCUAAGUUCCUUGGAACAGGACGUCGCAGAGGGUGAGAAUCCCGUAUGUGAUUGCGUGCCUUCGCCGUGUAAAGCCCCUUCAACGAGUCGUGUUGUUUGGGAAUGCAGCACUAAAUGGGAGGUAAAUUUCUUCUAAAGCUAAAUACUGGCCAGAGACCGAUAGCGCACAAGUAGAGUGAUCGAAAGAUGAAAAGCACUUUGGAAAGAGAGUCAAACAGCACGUGAAAUUGUUGAAAGGGAAGCGCUUGUAGCCAGACUUGCCUGCAGUUGCUCAUCCGGGCUCCUGCCCGGUGCACUCUUCUGCAGGCAGGCCAGCAUCAGUUUAGGCGGCUGGAGAAUGGCCUCUGUCAUGUACCUUCUCUCGGGAAGGCCUUAUAGGGGAGGCGUAAUACAGCCAGUCUGAACUGAGGUCCGCGCAUCUGCUAGGAUGCUGGCGUAAUGGCUAUAAGCGGCCCGUCUUGAAACACGGACCAAGGAGUCUAACAUCUAUGCGAGUGUUUGGGUGUCAAGCCCGAGCGCGCAAUGAAAGUGAACGGAGGUGGGACCCUUUUAGGUGCACCAUCGACCGAUCCUGAUGUCUUCGGAUGGAUUUGAGUAAGAGCAUAGCUGUUGGGACCCGAAAGAUGGUGAACUAUGCUUGAAUAGGGUGAAGCCAGAGGAAACUCUGGUGGAGGCUCGCAGCGGUUCUGACGUGCAAAUCGAUCGUC